AUUGGCUUUUUGGAGGCUUUAUCAUAUUCAAAAACUCACCAAACUUGGCGGGGGCAUAGAGCCCGGUGAAAAAUUUCGUAUUUUAAGGUCCCCAGAAAAAUCGCACAAGAAACGGCUCAAGGGCGCCACCUAGCAACUUUCAAAAGACCCUUUCCUAUUCACUUGCUUCAUCGUAGAGACUUGAAAUUCGGUACACUUGUAGAGCUCACCAAGACACUCAGAAUUUACAAUUAAUGUCACAGUGCAAGUAUCACAGAAUGUCGGCCAUUUUGGAUUGAAGUUCCGAUUUUGACCCGAUUUUGGCCGUUUACAGGGUUCGCAUUUUUUCGAACUUGUCCUAGGGAUUUCGAUCGAUCGGCUUCAAACUCGGUCAGAUCGUUCAUAAGGCAUGGCCGAUCCAAAGUUAUCAAAGUUGUGAGUUUUCGUGCAUGGUGAAGGGGUGAUACCAGUUGUUAAAGUUCACCUACUUGCCAUGAAAUUCAAAACUGUUAUAUCUCCUACAGAAAAACUCAGAGAGGGACAAAUUUUCAGUGAUUGAUCAUCAUCAGGUGCCCUACAAUACCCAAUGGUCAAAUGAUGACAUCACUUAGGCCACGCCCCCUGAGAACAGGAAGUGUUAGAUUUUACUGUGA